rnacentral:rRNA from 1 species
AUUGAACGCUGGCGGCAUGCCUUACACAUGCAAGUCGAACGGCAGCACGGGUGCUUGCACCUGGUGGCGAGUGGCGAACGGGUGAGUAAUACAUCGGAACAUGUCCUGUAGUGGGGGAUAGCCCGGCGAAAGCCGGAUUAAUACCGCAUACGAUCUACGGAUGAAAGCGGGGGACCUUCGGUCCUCGCGCUAUAGGGUUGGCCGAUGGCUGAUUAGCUAGUUGGGGGGGUAAAGGCCUACCAAGGCGACGAUCAGUAGCUGGUCUGAGAGGACGACCAGCCACACUGGGACUGAGACACGGCCCAGACUCCUACGGGAGGCAGCAGUGGGGAAUUUUGGACAAUGGGCGAAAGCCUGAUCCAGCAAUGCCGCGUGUGUGAAGAAGGCCUUCGGGUUGUAAAGCACUUUUGUCCGGAAAGAAAUCCUUGGCCCUAAUACGGUCGGGGGAUGACGGUACCGGAAGAAUAAGCACCGGCUAACUACGUG